rnacentral:lncRNA from 1 species
CUGGCGGAAUGCCUCGCCAGAGCAGCGCGUAGCAGGCCCCGGUGGAGGAUUAAGACAGUGGCUGAACACCGGGAAGGAACUGGCCAGACUUCUGAAACUUGGUCUGCCGUUUCAAUCCUGAGGCCAGCGAGACCAUGAACCCAUGGGAGGAAUGAACAACUCCAGAUGCGCCGCCUUAAGAGCUGUAACACUCACUGUGAAAGUCUGCAGCUUCACUCCUGAAGCCAGUGAGACCACAAAUUCACUGGAAGGAAGAAACUUCUAACACGUCUGAACAUCAAAAGGAACAAACUCCAGACACACCAUCUUUAAGAACUGUAGCACACAUCGCGAGGGUCUGCGGCUUCAUUCUUCAAAUCAGUGAGACCAAGAACCCACCAAUUCCGGAUACACCACUGUAUCAUUGUACUACACUGCUCUCAGCGCCACUGACCUCGGUAUGGGAAAAAGCACAAAUGUGCAUACCAUCUUCUUCUCCUUUUAGAAUAUUUCACUGGCGGGGGAGGGGGGAGGUCACACCUGUAAUCCCAGCACUUUGGGAGAUCAAGGAAGGUGGAUCGCCUGAGGUCAGGAGUUCGAGACCAGCCUGGCCAACAUAGUGAAACCCCAUCUCUACUGAAAUUACAAAAAGUUAGCUGGAUGUUGUGGUGGGUACCUGUAAUCCCAGCUACCCGGGAGCCUAAGGCAGGUCUUGAAUUGCUUGAACCCAUGAGGCAGAGUUGCAGUGAGCUAAGAUCGUGCCAUUGCACUCCAGCCUGGGCAACAAGAAUGAAACUCCAUCUCAAAAAAAGAAUAUUUCGCCAGGGGAACUCCACAUUUGCACAGUAUCUUCUCCAAGGACAGAAGAGGGAAAAUACUUCUUCCUACUGGAUUUUGAAACCCUUUGCACUGAGUGUAGACUGUAGUUCUGUGACAUACCAUGGAGUGUGUGUGUGUGUGUGUUUUAAGGGAGCUACUGUCUUACCCAAAACCUGUGAAUAUAAAGUGUUUUUUCUUGAAUUGCUCAUUAUUCAGCCAGUCAUUCAUGAAUUCAUUCAACAAGUGUCUCUGAGAUGGUAGACACUGGGGAUUAAAAGAGGAACAACAGAGACAAGAUCUCUACUCUCCAGAAACUGACAGUCUAUUGAAUGAGACAGUUGUCUAACAAUUACAAUCAAGUGUGAUCAAUCUCUGGUGACAGGACUCUAACCUAGAGGCAUGUGCCUAAUCUGGGGUGACUGGUUAGAGAAAACUUCGAAAAAGUUGUGACUUUUAGGCUAAAACCAGACUGCUAAUAAAGUGUUACAGG